CAGCAGUGGGGAAUAUUGCACAAUGGGGGAAACCCUGAUGCAGCGACGCCGCGUGGAGGAAGAAGGUCUUCGGAUUGUAAACUCCUGUUGUUGAGGAAGAUAAUGACGGUACUCAACAAGGAAGUGACGGCUAACUACGUGCCAGCAGCCGCGGUAAAACGUAGGUCACAAGCGUUGUCCGGAAUUACUGGGUGUAAAGGGAGCGCAGGCGGGAGAACAAGUUGGAAGUGAAAUCCAUGGGCUCAACCCAUGAACUGCUUUCAAAACUGUUUUUCUUGAGUAGUGCAGAGGUAGGCGGAAUUCCCGGUGUAGCGGUGGAAUGCGUAGAUAUCGGGAGGAACACCAGUGGCGAAGGCGGCCUACUGGGCACCAACUGACGCUGAGGCUCGAAAGUGUGGGUAGCAAACAGGAUUAGAUACCCUGGUAGUCCACACCGUAAACGAUGAUUACUAGGUGUUGGAGGAUUGACCCCUUCAGUGCCGCAGUUAACACAAUAAGUAAUCCACCUGGGGAGUACGACCGCAAGGUUGAAACUCAAAGGAAUUGACGGGGGCCCGCACAAGCGGUGGAGCAUGUGGUUUAAUUCGAAGCAACGCGAAGAACCUUACCAAGUCUUGACAUCCUUCUGACCGACUCUUAACCGAGUCUUUCCUUCGGGACAGAGGAGACAGGUGGUGCAUGGUUGUCGUCAGCUCGUGUCGUGAGAUGUUGGGUUAAGUCCCGCAACGAGCGCAACCCUUAUGGUCAGUUACUACGCAAGAGGACUCUGGCCAGACUGCCGUUGACAAAACGGAGGAAGGUGGGGAUGACGUCAAAUCAUCAUGCCCUUUAUGACUUGGGCUACACACGUACUACAAUGGCGUUAAACAAAGAGAAGCAAGACCGCGAGGUGGAGCAAAACUCAGAAACAACGUCCCAGUUCGGACUGCAGGCUGCAACUCGCCUGCACGAAGUCGGAAUUGCUAGUAAUCGUGGAUCAGCAUGCCACGGUGAAUACGUUCCCGGGCCUUGUACACACCGCCCGUCACACCAUGAGAGCCGGGGGGACCCGAAGUCGGUAGUCUAACCGCAAGGAGGACGCCGCCGAAGGUAAAACUGGUGAUUGGGGUGAAGUCGUAACAAGGUAGCCGUAGGAGAACCUGCGGCUG
rnacentral:rRNA from 1 species